UACGUAGGGGGCAAGCGUUGUCCGGAUUUAUUGGGCGUAAAGAGCGUGUAGGCGGUUUGGUAGGUCCGUUGUGAAAACUCGAGGCUCAACCUCGAGACGCCGAUGGAAACCAUCAGACUAGAGUCCGGAAGAGGAGAGUGGAAUUCCUGGUGUAGCGGUGAAAUGCGCAGAUAUCAGGAAGAACACCCGUGGCUAAGACGGCUCUCUAGUACGGUACUGACGCUGAGACGCGAAAGCGUGGGGAGCGAACAGG
rnacentral:rRNA from 1 species